ACAUCAGCUGUCUGGCAGCCUCAGCAAAGGGUCCUCCAGCAUACAGACUACAGGAUAUUAAGGAAAGGAAAAGAAAAAACCAAAGCAACAGCCUUUUCUCUUACAUUCGGAUAUCUUUAGGCCCGAAAACAUGAGGGAUUCACAUCACUGCACGGCACUGAGCUGCAGAUGUGGCCAAUAUUCCGCUUGAGAUCUGACCUGUAACUAAGCCCAAUGCUAAGGCGUUGUUCAAAGCCAUCCAGAGAGGUCCAGCUUGCAGACUUCAGUGCUCCCACAGCAAUGUUUUGGAGGAUAUAAGGAACCUCCAUCAGUGGCCGACCACGUAAUGAAGCUGCCACAUCUCUAUGGGCUGUGGCCAGUAUUGCUCCUGGAGUGGACCAGAGCUGCUUCUUAGAUGUUAUUCCUGUUUUCAGCAUCCAGGAGAGGACAGUGCUGGAAUGAAGCUUGUUUUGCCAGGGGAGGUGCAGAAUGAAUAUUAGGAAACAUUUCUUCUCAGAAGGAGCGGUGCUGCAGUGUUCACAGACUGCCCAGGGAGUGGUGGGGUCACCAUCCUUGGAGGUGUCCAAGAACCAUGGAGAUGUGGCACUGAGACAGAUGUAACUGAGAAAACAACAGUGACACUCCAGCAUCCCCUGUGCUCUGGUGCCCACGACCUGCAGUCAGCAUUGUAGGGUCCUGGGGAGGGCUCUGGGUGAGAACCCCUAUGUGCCUUCCGCAUGGAUGCCAAAGGACAGGAUGGUGAGUUCCCUAUUAGGGAAGUAAGGAAGAAAAACAGCUGCCUGGCCAAGGAUGGAGAACAGCAAUAAAGCAAACUGUUGUAUAGAAAAAGAAUUAAUGUUUGAUGAAAUGGUAUCCUUUCAGGCUUCCUGUUUGUUCCGUGUCCCAUUUUCAGCUGGUAGUCAUACAGUACAUGAAAGCAGAAGUCCAUGUAAUGUUUUUGCUCUGGGACUGAGAUGUGUUUUGUGAGGUGUCUGAUGCUGCCUUUACAUGGUGCUUUCAGAAACUAAAAAAGGAAACUGCUGUAUGGUAAGCACAGAGCUGGUCUGAGUAUUUAGGACGUUGUGGAUGCCCCAUCCCUGGAGGCAUUCAAGGCCAGGCUGGAUGUGGCUCUGGGCAGCCUGGUCUGCUGGUUGGCAACCCUGCACAUAGCAGGGGGUUGGAACUGGAUGAUCAUUGUGGUCCUUUGCAACCCAGGCCAUUCUAUGAUUCUGUGAUUUAUCAGUGUCUUGCUGUCAAGCUCAGAGGACGUUUCAAAGGAAUUCCCCCAGGAGUUAGUCCUGGUUCAGUUCUAUUCAAUACUUAAGAACUUGCAUGAUGGAAUAAAGAGCUCACCUAUCCCACAUGUGGAUGGCAGCUGUGAAGGACUGCAAACACUUCAAAGUCAGAGUUGAAAUUCUGAACUGAAGAAAUGGUCCCAGAGUCACAGUGAAGCAGUCCAGCCAAGGCAAGUUAGGCUGACCAUUGUGGUUAGCAAGAGAGAUGUUGCAGGAUACACACAGAGAUCAGUGCGAUUGCUGGUGGAAGAGCCAUAUGCAGGGAGUUGGGAAAGGAUCCCAAGGGAUCAGGAAGAGCUCUCCCCUUCCCAAAAGCAGGGUUAAUCUGGAGAUUAAAGACCACUCAUUAAUACAGACUGCCUCCAUACAAUUACUUCUUUUCUCCCCUUAGUUAAACUCACUGCAUAGGAAUCUAACAAAAUCAGAAAUGACUUCCUCAUUUGUGGUUUCUCUUCUUCUAGCCACCCAAUGGCCAGAGAUGACCCAGGUGGAAAACCUCGGUCCUAAGGCACAUUCCUGUGGUGUGAGUGUCCCAGGUACGCUGGGAGCUUUCUCCCUGUGAGCCCACACAUCCCACAGCCUCUUCUGUUCUCCUCUCAGAAUGUGGUUUUUCAGGUCUUCAGUGCUAGUUUUGGUUGCUGGACCACAGACUAAGGUAUGUCUGUGCCAGGACGUGCACACAGAUCUUCUUUGCUUGGAGGGGUGGAUGUGCAUAUCUUGUUGUGCCAUUUUGCUGGGUUUUUUUUUUCUCCUCCUUCCACAUCUCUUAAUUAAAUCAUAAAUUUACAUAAAAAAAGUCUUACAGUCCAAGGCAUAAUCACCUCACUGCACUGAACAAGUCACAGCCUACACUUAGAUUAUUACAUAGCUACUCUAUAUUAAAUUAUAUUCAUGGCUAUUAAAGGUGAAAGAAAAAGGAGCAUUGAGAACACGUGGCUGCUGCAGGAUGGCAAUAGCCUUCCAGAAGGCAUUACAAGAUCCACAAGGUCGUUUGAAUUCACCAUGCCUAAUUAAGUUGUUCUCAGUGUUAACAGCUGAAAAGCCAUUCAAAGUAGUUUAUGUAUCAGCUUUGUUAAGUAGAGUAUUAGCUGCAUGGGAGUAAAGGCAAAUAAUGUGCAAGGGAAAAUUCCUCAGUCUUAAACAAUCAGAACAAGGUCUAAAGAAAAGCUCAUUAUAAUGACUUCUCUUUAUGCUAGUUAACAGAUUUCCUGCAGGGAAAAAAACACUUUUCCAUGCCACCGUAGGGGGCCCAGCAAAACCCAAACAACUUUUGCCCUACUACAUCUUUGAAGAGCACAGAGAAGGGGCUUGUGCUGUUCUUCCUGACCCUCAUUACAGCCUGCGAGUCUGCAUAGAAAAACAGACCAAUGGUGGGGGAAAAGAGCAAAAUGCAGGAUUUUAGUGUUGGCUACACACAGCACCAUUUCCAUCACCACAUCCUCCGUCCUUUGAAUGCACCACUAUACUUUGAAAAAACGUAUAGGGAGCUCCAAAACAAGACUGUUCAGCGAUGAAGGGGCCAAGCUGUACAUCUGAUGCACUACAUGAACACCCAUCAAGAUUAACUCCUUUCAGAUGCUCUGCUCCUGACGCUGUGCUCAUUAACACUGCACCUGUACAGCCCAGCACCCUGGUUUCCAUCCAGGUGACCUCCAUAAAUGUAUUCAGCGAGCUGCAAUUACAAUUCACUGAGUCAGUCUGCCCUAAACCAAGACACAGAGAACAUCUUGGUAGACAGUACUGGGACAUUCAGCUUGAAAAUGCCAACACUGUGUAAGUUUGCUUUGCUUUACACUAUGUGUAGGGUAGGAAAUUAGAUGUGUCUCUGUCAGCUUGCCUACACUAUUUCCUAUCUUAAUAUGAGUCACUGUAACAAAGGGGGAAAAAGUGUGGCAAAGAAGCCCAAAUCCAAUUGCUCAUUGAAGUUAGUGUGUAUUAUGACUAAUGUAAGUAAUCAAUUUGAGCUGUCCAUUUGAGAAGAGUUUAUUAAAUAAAUGGAAAAGAGAGG
ensembl:lncRNA